AAGGGCAAGGGAGUUUUUGUUCAGAACUAUAGCAAGUGGCACACUGUGGAAAAGGGAGGCAUGCACAAAACUGGACCAGGUGUGUAUGGUCUGUUUGAGUGGACAAUGGUUCAGGCCCUGGAUUCUCUUACACAGAUGCCAACAAGAACAAAGGUAGUGCCUGAGAACACUGAUAGAAUAUUUGAUGUGUCCAAAAAGACACAUCCUUGGAACAAAAAUGAUCUUCGCUGGUGUGCAG
rnacentral:lncRNA from 1 species